rnacentral:rRNA from 1 species
UACGUAGGUGGCAAGCGUUGUCCGGAAUUAUUGGGCGUAAAGCGCGCGCAGGUGGUUUCUUAAGUCUGAUGUGAAAGCCCACGGCUCAACCGUGGAGGGUCAUUGGAAACUGGGGAACUUGAGUGCAGGAGAGAAGAGUGGAAUUCCACGUGUAGCGGUGAAAUGCGUAGAGAUGUGGAGGAACACCAGUGGCGAAGGCGACUCUUUGGUCUGUAACUGACGCUGAGGCGCGAAAGCGUGGGGAGCAAACAGG